CACUUCCGUUCCCGGAGUGGGCGGGUUGCCGGUGUGUUUUCUGUGGGCCCGUGCGUCUGUUCCGCGUCUCGCUGGCCCUUGCGAGCUUCCUGUGUCUCCGCUUGGGACGCGCAACCACCUGGCAAUCGAUUUAGGGGAAAAGAAUCCUCGGCGGAGAAUGCAGCGUGAUUUCUCAAAAAGGACCACACGGAGGUAGAGGGAGUGACCCUGAGCUACAUGAUAGCAAAGCUCCACGAAUGUACCUAUAUUCAGUGACAGCUCAUCUUAGCUUUUUGCAUGAAGGAAGCCCACAUACCAUGAGUAAUCAGGAAGUGUCUUGG